rnacentral:rRNA from 1 species
GUUUCGAUCAUGGCUCAGGACGAACGCUGGCGGCGUGCUUAACACAUGCAAGUCGAACGGAAUCCAUGGUGUAGCAAUACACCGGAAGAUUUAGUGGCGAACGGGUGAGGAUCACGUGAGAAACCUGCCCCAGACUUUGGGAUAACAAUUGGAAACGAUUGCUAAUACCGAAUGACGUCGGAGAACCGCAUGGUUCACUGACGAAAGGAAAUCCGGUUUGGGAGGGUCUCGCGGCCUAUCAGCUUGUUGGUGGGGUAAUGGCCUACCAAGGCAACGACGGGUAGCUGGUCUGAGAGGAUGAUCAGCCACACUGGGACUGAGACACGGCCCAGACUCCUACGGGAGGCAGCAGUGGGGAAUCUUGCGCAAUGGGCGAAAGCCUGACGCAGCAACGCCGCGUGCGGGAUGAAGGCCUUCGGGCUGUAAACCGCUUUCAGCAGGAACGAAAAUGACGGUACCUGCAGAAGAAGGAGCGGCCAACUACGUGCCAGCAGCCGCGGUGACACGUAGGCUCCAAGCGUUGUCCGGAUUUAUUGGGCGUAAAGAGCUCGUAGGCGGUUUAGUAAGUCGGGUGUUAAAACUCUGGGCUCAACCCGGAGAGGCCAUCCGAUACUGCUGUGACUUGAGUUCAGGAGGGGAGCGGGGAAUUCCUAGUGUAGCGGUGAAAUGCGCAGAUAUUAGGAGGAACACCGGUGGCGAAGGCGCCGCUCUGGACUGAAACUGACGCUGAGGAGCGAAAGCAUGGGUAGCAAACAGGAUUAGAUACCC